CUGCCUACUGCACAGAUCUCCAACAGCAAGGCAGCGUGCAGGUCCUCAUGAUGAGGUCAGGGAACUGAGCAUCCUUCUGGCUGGGGUGCUGUGUGAGGCCAUGCCCUGGACAAGCCAGGAGAAAGGAUGCGAGCCUUGUGAUGAGGUGUCUGGGCUUCAUUUAACUCGAGGCCAUUGAGAGCCCUGGAAGGGUUUUCAGCAGGAGAGUGAUCUGAUUAGGUAUUUGGAAGUACAAUGGAUAGGAGGGAAUAAAGAGUGGAGGUGAAGAGGCUAAUUAGUAGGCUCUGUGGUAGACAGAGAGUGGUAGCGGGGAUGGAGAAUAGUGAGCAAAUCAAAUACUAAACAGAAGGAAUUCAAGGUCUUGGUGAUUGCUUAGGCAAGGGGUGGGUGGCGAGGGGGCAAAGGGGAGAAGUCAAGCCGCUUGGGAAGCUGGGAGCUCAGCAGUGUCAUCUUCCAAGAGAGACAGCCCAGGUAGAUGAGCAGGUAAAAGAAAGCAUGCAGCUUCAGGGUUCGAGGGCUCAGAAGGUAGGUCUGGAAGCAGAUAGGUCAGAUACAGCUUUCUCCUUGGUCAAUAGAUCACUCCCCUUCCCUGCUCUCUGUUCCUCCAGCUGAAGGCUGUAGCCAGUCUGCUUCCGCCUUCCUCACUGGGUAUUGCAAAGCAAGCUAUCUAAGCAAGGCGGAAGCCCCUGGCAGGUAGCAGCACAAAGCCAAGACACCGAGGCUCUCCCGUCAGCUCAGCUGUAAACCAGCUUUGUGACCUUGAGCAAAUCCU
rnacentral:lncRNA from 1 species